CCUCACUACACCCACACAACUCCUUUAGAAGACCUGGAUACACUUUACUAUCAAUACCGAGUUCUACAUGUUGGCUAUAAAGUUUUGGAGUGCCAGUCCAAACUGUCAGAAUGCUGUUGAGAAUAUCCUUUAUUUUUGCAUGCUAGACGGUGAAGGCCUCCACAAGGCAGUGGAGGUGGUGUGUGAUGAUUACGGUAUUGUCAGGGCCCCCUUCUUAGGUAUCCUGGGGGGGGGGCGUGGUUGGUAUCCUGUGUGAUGGCAUUAAACUCUAACUCUAACUUCA